CACUCCAUCUCCCUCUCACUUAAUUAUUCACCAAAAUGCCACUCUUCUCCCACCGCCAGCCCUCCCCUCUCCCAACCACCACCACCACCACCGCCUACUCCUCCAAGCCUCUUAAACCCGCCUCCGCCUCUGCCCCCACUCGCAAUCCACUCCCCAUCAUCGUCUUUUCCCUCAUCUCCCUCCUCAUCGGCCUCGCCGGAACAAUCUCCGCAGUCGUCGCCAUCCGCCGCUCCACACCCCUCCCCGUUUUCCGAUGCGGUAAAUCCGAAGAUUCAUUCCGAGCAUUCUACUCUAUCUCAAAUUCACGCAAAGUCGAUCACAAUGCUGGUCUGAUCGAACGGCCUAAGCUUCUCGGCUUCGUCGGAAUUCUAACCGGGUUCGGAGGAGCUGAUCGCCGCGCCGCCCUGCGCUCUACUUGGUUUCCGUCCAACCCAGAUGGUCUCUUGAGGUUGGAACAUGCUACUGGUUUAGCCUUUAGGUUCGUUAUUGGGAGAUCGAAAGAUGCAAAGAAAGUGGCAGAGCUUCAGAAAGAGAUAGAUCACUACAGAGACUUCUUGGUGAUUGACAUCAAGGAUGAAUAUGUAAGCCUUCCAUGGAAAACGUUGGAGUUUUUCAAGGCGGCAUUUCAACAUUUUGAAGCAGAUUAUUAUGUCAAAGCUGAUGAUGCUAUUUAUUUGCGCCCAGAUCGACUAGCAACACUUCUAGCCAAGGAGAGGACAGAUUCACGGAUCUACAUUGGUUGCAUGAAGAAAGGUCCAGUGAUAACUGAUCCAAAAAUGAAAUGGUAUGAGAAAUCAGGACAUCUGAUUGGGAAUGAAUACUAUCUCCAUGCUUAUGGUCCUAUUUAUGUUCUAUCUGCUGAGGUGGUAGCUUCAUUGGCAACUGCUAGAAAUAACAGCUUUCAGUUUGAGAAUGUUUAACAAUGAAGAUGUUACUAUUGGAUCAUGGAUGCUUUCUAUGAAUGUCCAUCAUGAGGAUAAUCGAUUAUUAUGUGACCCUCGGUGCUCACCUGGAUCCAUUGCAGUGUGGGACAUCCCUAAAUGCUCAGGUUUGUGCAACCCAGCUCUUCGGAUGAAAGAGCUUCAUGCAAUGAGUAUGUGCUCCAAAAGUCCAACUCUGCCCUCUACUGAUGACAGAUAGACUGAUAGAGAGCUGUGGCAGGCUUACAAGUUCCCAUCACAAUGCCGUCUGUGUAGGAUGAUCAGUUGGGUUUGUUCUGCAGUAUCUUCUUGCUUCAUGUUCUUAUUAACAAAGGAAAUGAGGUCUUCUGAAGAGUGAAGCCAUAACUCGCUCUUGUAGUUUGGUUUGUGAUUGUCUCUUGUUGUAAUGUAGUAUUACUGGGCAUAUUCUUGUCUGUUCAUCAUAUAUAGAUCCAGAUUGUAACUACAUUAUGUAUACGAUCGAAGUAGUACAGUAAUACAUUACCACACCAGAUUACCUUGUU